rnacentral:snRNA from 1 species
GUGCUUGUCUCAGCAGCACAUAUAGUAAAAUUGGAAUGAUAGAGAUAAGAUUAGAAGGAUGAGACACAGAUUCAUGAAGCAUUCCAUAUUUUU